UUCAGGAUAAUCGACUGAGCACGCUGACAGCGUGUGUUUCAACACAGGUCUGACAUCCUGUGAGUAUAAUCUAAUGUGUCCGACCAAAAUCGCUGUUAACCCUUUCCCAUUCCGAUGACGCGAUUCGUUUACGUCAUCGAAACUGAAAUAAAAUUACGACAUCGGUACCUAUUCAGGACAGAAGACAUACCGAGGCUCCCACAAGGCCAUGCGAGAAGGCAUGCAGCACAGCUUGGCGCCAGCUGUCAUCGAUUGCAGCCGUGUCACUACAGUUCUCUGCGGGAUCUUGCACUUGAUAUCCAAGGAGCCACCCGUUACGCCGUCGGAAAGCCAGCCAAGGAGGAGGGAGCGGCUGACAUCCACUUCUCUCCUCCCCCAUCUUCUGUCCGGGACGGGCCGCGCCCAUUAGGCCAACUUCAAGCCAUCCUGAGAGCCCCCGGAUGGAUGGCUACGGCUCAAGGGACACAGCCGACGUGCGGACUGGCCGGUGGAGACGCGCACCGGCACGCUCGUCGCGCGGCAUGGAGACGUGGCGGGUGCCGCACCUGCACCCCAGUGUUCAUUACAUUAACUUAAUUGGUGGUGAUGUUCGUCAACGAAGACAAUAUUCGUCAACAAAGUGUUGUGUUUCAUACUUUGUACCAGUCAACAGUGACUAUGAGCAGAUGAAUAUCAACAACCACGGCGAUGAUUGCAGCUACGCAUAAAAGGCCUGGGCAUGGCCGACGAAGACGAGGCGAAACCAACGCACAAAACUAAGAAGAUUUCGUCACAGUAUUGAGAGAUGGCAGUGAAGGGAGACCAAAACUGUGCAUUGGCAAUAUAUGCAGAUAAAUAUAUAUACCAAGUUUACCAAUUAGCUGACCUAAUAAUCCGAGAGGGGGGAAAAAAAGUGCACACUCGAAGAGCGAAAUAAUAUUCCGGCUGCUUUAGUCGAGUAGGCUAAGAUAAUUGCUCAACGAAAUCCACAGACUGAGACUCCAACAAUGAAAUUGCACAGGUUGUCGUCGACAAAUGUAACAAUGGCUAACUGAAUUAAUGCCGCCGCCGCUGCAACUUUUGACCGUUUGUGAAGCGAAAGAUAAAACGCGCAGUCGCGCGCCGCGUCCAAAGUUUUGCUCUUAUCGUGCGACAACGCGGAGAGUUGCUCGCAAGGAAAAUGCUCCACUUUGUAAACCCUCAUCAUCAUCGCAGUGCUCGCUCGACUGCAAACAUCCGCCCCCCCACCCACUCCGUGCAGUCCUGCAGCAGAGUACCAGGCAUAGCCAGCAAGAUAAGAAUGGAAAUGCAUCAUUCUGGUCGGCGGUCAACUUAGCCCAUGAUCCCUCCAAGGUCGGUAAAGCCAGUGCCAUUUUGGAGGAAAUGAACAGUGGUGUUUUUUUGGAUUAUCCACGUUCCUGCAUCAGGAAUGGGGAAUUUUCACCCCUAGCUGGGGAACAUCUAUGGAGGGUGGCGUCACUAACCCAUCGCUUGUGUGUGGGGAAUACACGCUGAUCGCAUCAUGAGCGCUGCCCACCAACGGGCUGUCUUUUGUCAUACGGUGGAGUGCUUUGACGGUGGAAUUGUGUUGUUAAAAAGUGCGAAUACCAAAGUAAUGAUUUACUGGAAAUAUUAUCGUAAAUUAAAAUUACAAUUUACGUUUUCUUUACAUCUCUUUUUUAUAAUAUAAUUCCACAGGUAAAUAAAUUGACAAAAUUGCAGUGCAAAAAAUAUUAAAAUAUUGAAGAUAUAUUGCCUUUGUGUGUAGCACAACAGUUUUUUUUUCUGUUAAUUGUUUUAAAACAUAUAAACAUAUUUUAAUUAGUGAUCCACAAAACCAAAACGUGAAGUUUAUUUUUUUUUGCCAUAAGUCCAUUGAAGUGGUACAAUUUUAAACAAGCUGCAUUUCCUGUGAGAUUUAUUAUUUCGACUGUGCUCUCGGCGUCGUGACACAAGAUUAAGAAUCCUUUCAGAGAUUUCGCAUAGCAGGGCAACCCUCCGUGUUGAAGAAUGGCCCACACAAGUGGAUAUCACAGAGCAACCACCGAGAUCCCUCGAAGUGACGUCUGUUCCAAUGAGAGUGAAGUUCACCCCAUGACAGCGAAAUUGAUUUUCGAAUUUGCAAAGCUGGAAUUUCGCUAUAUUAAGUGCACAGCCAUACUAACGUGAUUGUGUUUUAUACAGCAGCUUUACGACCCGGCUUCGCCCGGGACUUGGAUUCACCACGGCCGCGAUGUUCACACACCACACCAGUUACUCGUU